rnacentral:sRNA from 1 species
CUGAAGCAGUUCAACAAGGCACAAGACCAGUUGCACAAUGCCCUGAAUCUUAAUAGGCACGAUCUGACUUAUAUAAUGCUGGGGAAGAUCCACUUGCUGGAGGGAGACUUGGACAAGGCCAUUGAAGUCUACAAGAAAGCAGUGGAGCCAUCUUGGCAGCAGGCAGCAUGAUGCAGACCCACGGGGACUUUGAUGUUGCCCUCACCAAAUACAGAGUUGUGGCUUGUGCUGUUCCAGAAAGUCCUCCACUCUGGAAUAACAUUGGAAUGUGUUUCUUUGGCAAGAAGAAAUAUGUGGCGGCCAUCAGCUGCCUGAAACGAGCCAACUACUUGGCACCCUUCGAUUGGAAGAUUCUGUAUAAUUUGGGCCUUGUCCAUUUGACCAUGCAGCAGUAUGCAUCAGCUUUUCAUUUUCUCAGUGCGGCCAUCAACUUCCAGCCAAAGAUGGGGGAGCUCUACAUGCUCUUGGCAGUGGCUCUGACCAAUCUGGAAGAUAUAGAGAAUGCCAAGAGAGCCUACGCAGAAGCAGUCCACCUGGAUAAGUAUGCGCUUUGUUGAGAAUGGUACUGGCGGGGGUUGGACUCUCCAAAGCCAUGAGGUGGUGCCAUAGCAUUGGUGCUGCCUGUGUCAGCCCAGCUGUUCCUCUAUGGCAUUAGUACAUAGCAGACCUCAGUGUGGAGGGAUGUGUCUCCUAAGUAUGUGGUGGCUCAGCAGGAAUUGACACUCUGAGAAAAUGUUUCCAGUCCUAAACUGAGUAAUCAGGAGGCUAGAGAAUGUCAGAACUGGCAGUGGGCUUGGGUUGCUGAUAGCUAUGGGCUAGCUGGAAUAUCAGAUGGGACUCUGGGCUGUUUAAUUCAAGAUAAAACUUGACUCUUCCAGGAUUUACUCCGCUGGCAUCUUCUAGACAGCAGGGUAGAGAUCCCUUUUUCAACCCUGGCCUAGGUAGUCUCUGUUGAGGGCGGAGAUGCCAGAUUUGGUCCCAAUACCAGCUUUGCUUGUUA